rnacentral:lncRNA from 1 species
CAAACUCCUGACCUCGUGAUCCGCCCGCCUCGGCCUCCUAAAGUGCUGGGAUUACAGGCAUGAGCCACCAUGUCCAGCUGAGACUGCAUUUCUAAAGGCUCCAGCACCCUGUGCUGAAGCCUUCGCAGGAUUUACCAGGCUGACCUGUUAGUACCUGCAUGGAUGUCUUCAGAGCAGAGACUGUGGAUUGUCUAUCACCAAGUUCCAGCACCUGGUACAGGAUCUGGCAAAUCACAAGCCCUCAGGAAAUAUCUGGGGAAUGAAAAAUGAACCUCUGAGAGGAGAUAAGAUAGAAAGACGCAUAAUCAUCAUGACAUCAUCAUAGCAAAUACCACUUGGCACUUACUCUGUGCUGGCCCUGUUGUUGGUGCUUGACAUUUAGUUAAGUCAUUUAAUUCCCACAACAACCCAGUUUUGUAGGGAUUAUCAUCAACCUUAUUUUAUUUUAAUUAAUUAUUUGAGAUGGAGUCUCUCACUCUGUUGCC